UGAGCAAUCUGCCCUUCUCUUCGGAAUAAGCGUUGGAAACGACGUCUAAUGCCGAAUACGACCUCCUUUCGCAUGAUCGGAGGUGGAAAGCUCCGGCGGAGAAGGAUGAGCUCGCGGCCUAUCAGCUAGUUGGUGUGGGUAAUGGCCCACCAAGGCGACGACGGGUAGCCGGCCUGAGAGGGUGACCGGCCACACUGGGACUGAGAUACGGCCCAGACCUCCGUACGGGGAGGNAGCG
rnacentral:rRNA from 1 species